rnacentral:rRNA from 1 species
CCCGGCGACCGGCGCACGGGUGAGUAACACGUAUGCAACCUGGCCGCCACAGGGGGAUAACCCGCGGAAACGCGGCCUAAUACCCCGUGACGCCACCGGAGGGCAUCCUCCGGUGGCCAAAGGAGCGAUCCGGUGGCGGAUGGGCAUGCGGCGCAUUAGCUAGACGGCGGGGUGACGGCCCACCGUGGCGACGAUGCGUAGGGGCUCUGAGAGGAAGGCCCCCCACACUGGGACUGAGACACGGCCCAGACUCCUACGGGAGGCAGCAG